AAAGGACCCCUGAAACCCCUUAAGGUUUUGUACCACAAGGAAGAGGUCAGGGAUGUCGUUGAAGAGAUAUCAUCAUUUCCUGGUAAGAAAAUUGAGGUAUCGCCUUCGAUUUCCAAUGUCACGACCCAUGCCAAUGGAAGCAAAGGAGAGGUGAGUACUGAAUCCAAGAGGGUUGCGUUCAACGAUGAGAUUGAAGGAAAAGAAUUUGAAGAUCGUCGUGCCAAUGUAAAAAAG
rnacentral:lncRNA from 1 species